AAACGGAUUGUGUUUGUCGCUGUUGUACCUUCGGGUGCGAGAGAGGAAAGUCGGGACAUCAUAGAGCGCCAUACUUCCUAACGGGAAGGGGGCAAAAGGCGUAAAGUCUUUGUUCACAGCAAGUGCCACAGAAAAUAACCGUCCUGCUUUUGCAGGAUAAGGGUGAAAAUGUGAGGUAAGAGCUCACACCAACGUAUGGCAACAUGCGCUGGGGGUAAACCUUAUGGGAUGAGAGACUAAAUAUACUGGAUAUACUUUCGAGUAAGUGAGUUGCUCGCUCAAAUGCCAGGGGGUUAGUCGAUAGAACCUGCGGGUGACUUCAGGUAUAGAUAAAUGACAGACUAAGUUCAGCAAUGAACCCAAACAGAAUCCCGCUUAUGCAAUCCGUUUUUUU
rnacentral:RNase_P_RNA from 2 species